rnacentral:rRNA from 1 species
AAACGCUUGAAGUCAGUCACAUUGACUAGAAAUCAGGCUUGCUUUUGCAAGGUGCACUUUCUAGUUAAUGGGUCAGUAUCAAUUUUGAUUGUUGGAUAAAGUCAUUAGGAAUGUAGCAUCUUUGGAUGUGUUAUAGCCUAGUGUUGAAUACAGCAAUUGGGAUUGAGGAACUCAGCAUGCCUUUAGGGGCCAGGUCUUUUGACUAUGUUCAUGCUUAGGAUACUGGCAUAAUGGCUUUAAUCGA